GUUGUGCUUCCCACAUUAGGCUACAUUUAUAAUUUUAUUUGUAUUAUCAACAAUAACUUGCUAGGAGAACUAGAAAUGAAGAUAUACUUUCUUUAUUUGAUAAGAAUAUGAGUUUGGGGAUUUUUAACCAAAAUCUAAGAGGCAAAGGAACAUGCAGUCUGCUUGAUUAUGUAAUUGCAAGGCUUUAGGGAUUUAUUAAAAUAUAGACCACAAGAAAAAUAAACUUAUUACAAUUUUUAAGCCUCCCAAAUAUUUUAAAGGAUAUUAAAUAAAUAUUACUCAAAAAUUACAUUUUAGCAGGAAGUACUAAAUGAAAGAAGUGUUAAUUUUUCCAGAAUUAAUUGAGAUUUAUUUCCUAGUUUAUGUCUCUGGAGACAAAUGUAGGUCUCUCCUCAAGGGUAGAAUGAUUUGCAUAGGAGGAAUGAUUUAAAUGGCUAGAAACAUCAUUUUCACUCUUUACAAAAUGCUUCAAUAUGUUUUGUCAUAUUGUCUGAUAAUUUUGUACUAGAGAUUUCUUUCUUUGAGAUAAUAAAAUGCAAAUAUCUCUGAAAGAGUCUCUUCAGCUUUAGUCAUACUCAUUUGGCUACUAGUGAAAAAAAAAUGUUUUUAUAGGAUAAAGGGAAUGUUGCCAGCUAACAAUUCCCUGGAGUCUGCACUACACCAAACGUUGCUUAGCAAUUUCCAAGAUUUUCUCAGUCUAAUUUGGAGAAGUGUAAAGAUUAGAAAACAAGGGGAUGUGGGCAUGUUAUAUAGAGUUGUAAAUUAGUAUUUAUUGUAUGUUUCCAUUCUAUCUAUAUUGAAAGCUUCACAUACAAAGAAAAUGGAAAGUUAGCGGGCGGGUGUGGUAGAAUACUACUACUUUAAUUGAAUGGUAAGGGAAAGCUUCUCCUAGCAAGUGAUUUUUAUACCAAGACUUGAACAAUAAACAGUAUUCAAUUUCAGAAAAAGUUUGGAGAAAGGCUUUUUAGGCAGAGAAGAAAAUAUAUUUAUGUCCUGAGGUGGGAACUUAGCUUGUCAGAGUAAGUAGGUAAUUCUAACUUUCACUGAUUUAUGCAUUCCAUUGGAGUACUUUAUACAUUAGUUUUUGAGAUCUUUCACAAUUUGAUUUCUGCUUAAAAUUAAUUCUCCCCUGAUUUCUCACCGUACAUGGUGGUAAUCCAUGCCUCUGAGACUUUGUAUAUGUUGUUUCUUUGUUUAGUAUUCUUCUCAUUUGUUAUUUUUUUGUCUGAUGAACUCUGCUUCAAGCAUUUCCUCCUAAGGGAGCCUGCUCUCAUGGUCCUCUGCCCACCACCUAUAGAAUUGCUAAAUCUUUACGCUACUAACAUCUGCGCAUUUGAAACACUGCUUCACAAUUACUAGUCUGCAUUUCUCCUUUUAUCACUCAUGAGUUUCCUUAGGACAGAGACACUAUUAAUUCAUCCUAGAGUACAUAUAGUCCAGCAUAGUAUGUAUCUUCAGAACAAUUUAUAAUUUAGCAUUUACUUUCAGUACAAUUUCCAUGAUAUAUUUGUUCUAGUUAAAAGCCAAUAUCCACUAGAAUAUUUAUCAUUAUUUCAUUCAAAACAAUAAAACAUUAAAUUGAAUUAUGAUUACUCAAAGUGGAUGCAAAUUAGAUUCAUGGAAAUAUGUAAAGAUUGAGUCAUUUUUGGCCUAUAAUUUUCAAUUCAGUAUUUCAGUUUAUCAUACUUUAUGAUGGAUGUUCAGCCCACACUUAAAUCCAUUGGCAGUGAGAACUAGUUAUCACUUUAUGGAAAUCAUGAUUUAAUAGCAUGUUUUGUGUGGUUAGUUUAUUUCCCUUCUUAAGUUAGACUGGUAGAAUUAUGUUCGAAGCACUCAUUGCACUAUAUUUACUGGAACUUGUGUUCAUAACUUGGAACCUGAAGGCUUUUUCAACUCCUAUGUCCCUGGCAGAAAUGGAAGAGCUGUAUGUGAAGGUAGGAAGGUGAGAUGAUGGGAGAUGUGGCAAGAGAGUUAGGAAAAGGAAACAGUCGUGCAUUUUCCAGGAGGUGUUUCCACAAGCAUAUUUUUUGAUGCCAAUCCCAAGGAGAUAAUACGUGUAAAGCAAGGACAUUCAGGAGGUUCACUUAGGAAAAUUUCUCUGGUGGUUUCCAAUUCUACCAAGUUGUAUAAGUGAAAUGCCAUGGUUACUGUCUCAGUGAACUGAGCCAACAUCAAGGGAACAGGAAAGGAAAAGAAUUAAAGAACUAAAGCUAAUUUCAUCUCUCUUCACUUUUACCUCUUUUCAUCAGUCACACCAGUCAACACAGUUUAUUUUACCCUUAUAUCAGGUGUAUCAAUCUAUGUGAGCACCAGGCAUUUCUCUGAAAGAUAUCUUUGAAGGGAUUCUUAGGGGAAAUAAAUUGAAAUUCAAGAUCAUGAGAACCGAGUAGACAUUGAAUUUCCUCUGCUCACUGUAUCCUGUGAUACCUCUGUUCCUGACACACCAUUCAAACAUAUUUCUCAUUGGCUCUUUCCUCUACCUGAAAUGUUCUUUCCUCAUAUCCUCAUGCAUCCAAGUUUUGCACUUUUAGAUCUGGGUAGAGUUCAUAGAGACCUUCUGCCUUCCAUUCAUCUAAUAUAGUUCCCUUCCCUCCACUCUUUUGCCACUCUAUUCUCUUUCAGGAACCUGUUUCAUUUCCUUGAGAAAACUUAUUAUUUAAAACCACCUAUAUACAUUUCAUUUUAUUGCACAUCUUUUCCCUCCAGAAUGGGAGAUGAGACAUGUUAUCAAAUAAGACAUUUCCUCUUCUGUUCUCUGCUCCUUUCCCAGUACCUAGAAUAGGCCUAGCACACAGAGAAGCUCAAGACAUAUUUUGUGGGAUGAUGGAGGGGGUGAAUUGAAAUGUACACACUACUUUAUGGAGGAGCACAAAUACACCUGGGAAAAACAGAGAUAAUUCCACUGGUAAUAAAGACUGGUCACAGUACAUUUGCAGCACAAGGUUAUCAGCAACUUCCCAAACACAAGCUUUAGAUCCCCUACUUACACAUUCACCUUCCAUGGCCAAGAGAAGGGUUUAACAAUGUGUUCAUAGGGUUAUAGGAUAUGUAAAAUCCACUAAAUCAAUCUGUUUUCAUUCUGACUUCGGGAUCUGCCCAAAGGUAAAUUGAGUCAUAUACAUUUAGUAUAAGUUCAGUGAAACAUACUAUGUGCUCACUGUCCUUUUGUGUAGAGUUAGGUGGUGUCUAAUUGUCCUUUAGUGGAAUGGGAUGGCUCUAGGAAUACUUAUUCAACCCCACAUUGAUCAGUAAGCAUGGUGACAUGAAGUCAUCUAUAAAUGGGUUGGUUAAUCUUAUUUCAAAAAGCAUAAAAGAUUAUUUACUCUACCACAAACCCUGAAAUAACAUUUUCAUGUUGUGGCUUAAAUACAAAAGAAAUGAUAGAGAUUUUUUUCCAAAAUUUAAAAAUAAUACUAAAUGGUUACAUCAUAUUUUCAAUAACCAAUUGCAAAUUUUAAAAAGAAGCUAAGAUGUUAAUAAUUUUAAAAUGUUUCAUUAAGUGAGAAACUAAAUUAUCAUUCUAUUCUUAUCAUAGAAUAUUUGAUAUCACAAAAUUAUCGCCAUUUAAUGAUUUGAUCAGGGAAUAUUGAACCAAAUUGUAUAGGGAACAGUAUAUUAAAGAAGUAUGGCAGGCUGUUAAUUAUUAAAAAAGCAAUUAUUCUUGUUUAUGUCAUAUUUGUGGGAUUAUAAUUUUAACAAUGUUUUGUAUAAUUUCAGUAAUUUGUUAGGAUGUCAU
rnacentral:lncRNA from 1 species